rnacentral:lncRNA from 1 species
AGUGGGGGACGUCGGGGCGGGGGUGAAGGACCCAGACAGAAGGUCAGGGAGGAAGAAGCAAAUUUGUUUUCUGCGUGCCAAUCCAGGUCCAUAGCCUCCCGGUUCCAUUGUAAAGGCGAAAUGAAUUCUUACCUGGGGCAGCUCAGCCUCUCUGGAGCCUGGGCCUUGGACCAUUUCAGCAGGGUGACUUCAUAGAGAUUAUUCCUGUCAGUUGGCUGCUCCCUCCAAAUCACAUUCUUCCUCUGUUGCUAUCUAGAAUUCUUGAUACUGAUGCUCGGUAAACCGUCACUUUCUUUCUUGCACUUUGUCCCUGUCACUUUCUUUCUUGCUCUUCUUGGCCCCUUCUCCUGUCUGUGCACACCCCAGUCUCAAAACUGAGGGUGGUUGUAGAAGAUUUGGGUCCUCAGAGCUGUCCUGGGAGGCUGGGUGACCCUGGAAUAUAGGGUUUAGCCAGAUGGUGAGUGUAGACACACCUUCAUAACGGUUUGAAGUUGAGAAUCCUUUUCAUCUGUGGAGACUUGCAACUGCAGAGACAGGCUGAGGAAGCAGACACCAAGCAGGUAUAUCAAAGGGCCAUGCCUAGGCCUAGAGCUUGGCCCAGUGUCUUCUCUGGCCGGCGCUCCUGGAAGAGAGAAGUUCCUGGAAUCUGAGCUGCCAGGACCAGCUUCAGGACCCUUUCAUCUGGAAUUCUGGAUCCAGUACCUUAGAUACAUUGCUUACUAGCAACUGGAUUCUGUGAGAAGAAAUGGAGGAAAAUAAGUAGAAGAAAGUAAGUUAAGUGGCCAUUUUGGCCCACAGGAUGGCCACAGGGGCCUGCCCCAGUGAGCCCUUGACCUGGAGCUUGAAUUGAGACUGCUGAGUGAAUUAGGUAGUUUCAUGUUGUUGGGCCUGGGUUUCUGAACACAACGACAUUAAACCACCAGAUUCACGGCAGUUACUGCUCCUCGCUUAGCUGGAGGAGUGGGGUGGGGGAUCUUAGGACUGAUGUGUAACUCUUGCAAAAUGGUGAAAAUGUUUGAGUUCCUUCAUCCAAGAGCAGCAAGAAUGUUCCCCAGAGAAGAAAUCUGGGGAAUUCUGGGACAUCUUCCCACUUCUGGAUGCUUUUAGUGUAUGUUUAGAGGGUAUAGGGGGAGUGGGGAGCCCUCAGCUCUCCAAAGGCACCUUAAUGGCAGUGGUUGAGCUGUUCUGCAGAACCAAGGAUGCCAGUUAGGUCUUCCAGCUUUCUGCCUUAACAUCUUGGGCUCCUUUCUACAUUCAGAACCUUCCAGACAGAAAAAGUCUCCCCAACUACACAAAAGCUUGGUUUCAACAGAGACACAGGAGGUCCUUGAAGUCUUUGUAACUUUUAGGAACAGGGCUCCACCUUACCAGGAAGUUUCAGGUCCUUGAAGAGGGUUUAAUAGGCCCCAUUCUGAAAGGAAACAUCAUAAUCUCUUGUAAUCUCCGUUUACUGGUCUUUGGUGCCCUUCCUAGGGCCCCCUAGUGGGAUAGGACCUCCAGAGGUAGGUUUUAAAAAAAAAAAAGUCCUUUCACUCCUAAACUUCAAUGGGCUCCUUCUCCACUGAGUGGCCAAGGGCCCUUGAGCUGGGCUGUGGGUUCAGGUAGGUCCUGAGGGCUUCCCCCUAGGAGAAGGGCCUGAUAUCCCAGCUACUGGCGAACCCAGGCUGCUCAGUAAUUCAGUAUUGUCUGAUGUAGUGAGGGGCUGGGGCAGAGGGUUGGGGCUGGGUGAGAUUGCUACCCUUUCUGACCCCAGCCCUCUUAAGGCUGUUGGCUCUGUGCCCAGUAAAGGAAUAACUAGAAGUGCUGGUGGAAGGAGGGGGAUUUGCCAAAACAUAAGCUAACUUUUGUUCCUAAAAUUUCCCCCCUGCUUCAGGCAGAGGAAAUAUGCAAAGGGGCCCGGGAAAGAGGCCCGACCGG